GAUGAACGCUGGCGGCGUGCCUAAUACAUGCAAGUCGAGCGAACAGAUAAGGAGCUUGCUCCUUUGAAGUUAGCGGCGGACGGGUGAGUAACACGUGGGUAACCUACCUAUAAGACUGGGAUAACUUCGGGAAACCGGAGCUAAUACCGGAUAACAUUUAGAACCGCAUGGUUCUAAAGUGAAAGAUGGUUUUGCUAUCACUUAUAGAUGGACCCGCGCCGUAUUAGCUAGUUGGUAAGGUAACGGCUUACCAAGGCGACGAUACGUAGCCGACCUGAGAGGGUGAUCGGCCACACUGGAACUGAGACACGGUCCAGACUCCUACGGGAGGCAGCAGUAGGGAAUCUUCCGCAAUGGGCGAAAGCCUGACGGAGCAACGCCGCGUGAGUGAUGAAGGGUUUCGGCUCGUAAAACUCUGUUAUUAGGGAAGAACAAAUGUGUAAGUAACUGUGCACAUCUUGACGGUACCUAAUCAGAAAGCCACGGCUAACUACGUGCCAGCAGCCGCGGUAAUACGUAGGUGGCAAGCGUUAUCCGGAAUUAUUGGGCGUAAAGCGCGCGUAGGGCGGUUUCUUAAGUCUGAUGUGAAAGCCCACGGCUCAACCGUGGAGGGUCAUUGGAAACUGGGAAACUUGAGUGCAGAAGAGGAAAGUGGAAUUCCAUGUGUAGCGGUGAAAUGCGCAGAGAUAUGGAGGAACACCAGUGGCGAAGGCGACUUUCUGGUCUGUAACUGACGCUGAUGUGCGAAAGCGUGGGGAUCAAACAGGAUUAGAUACCCUGGUAGUCCACGCCGUAAACGAUGAGUGCUAAGUGUUAGGGGGUUUCCGCCCCUUAGUGCUGCAGCUAACGCAUUAAGCACUCCGCCUGGGGAGUACGACCGCAAGGUUGAAACUCAAAGGAAUUGACGGGGACCCGCACAAGCGGUGGAGCAUGUGGUUUAAUUCGAAGCAACGCGAAGAACCUUACCAAAUCUUGACAUCCUUUGAAAACUCUAGAGAUAGAGCCUUCCCCUUCGGGGGACAAAGUGACAGGUGGUGCAUGGUUGUCGUCAGCUCGUGUCGUGAGAUGUUGGGUUAAGUCCCGCAACGAGCGCAACCCUUAAGCUUAGUUGCCAUCAUUAAGUUGGGCACUCUAGGUUGACUGCCGGUGACAAACCGGAGGAAGGUGGGGAUGACGUCAAAUCAUCAUGCCCCUUAUGAUUUGGGCUACACACGUGCUACAAUGGACAAUACAAAGGGCAGCUAAACCGCGAGGUCAUGCAAAUCCCAUAAAGUUGUUCUCAGUUCGGAUUGUAGUCUGCAACUCGACUACAUGAAGCUGGAAUCGCUAGUAAUCGUAGAUCAGCAUGCUACGGUGAAUACGUUCCCGGGUCU
rnacentral:rRNA from 1 species